AGGGAAUAUUGCGCAAUGGACGGAAGUCUGACGCAGCGACGCCGCGUGAGCGAUGAAGGUCUUCGGAUCGUAAAGCUCUGUCCUCAGGGAAGAAAAUUUGACGGUACCUGAGGAGGAAGCCCCGGCUAACUACGUGCCAGCAGCCGCGGUAAUACGUAGGGGGCGAGCGUUGUCCGGAAUUAUUGGGCGUAAAGGGUGCGUAGGCGGCCCUUUAAGUCGGAUGUGAAAGCCCGCGGCUUAACCGCGGAAUGGCAUUCGAAACUGGAGGGCUUGAGUGUCGGAGAGGGUAGUGGAAUUCCCAGUGUAGCGGUGAAAUGCGUAGAUAUUGGGAGGAACACCAGUGGCGAAGGCGACUACCUGGACGAUAACUGACGCUGAGGCGCGAAAGCUGGGGGAGCGAACG
rnacentral:rRNA from 1 species